rnacentral:tRNA from 1 species
AGAGAGGUGGUAGAGCUGGUUUAUUACGUCUGAUUUGAAAUCAGAUGAAUCAAAAGAUUCCGUGGGUUCAAAUCCCACCCUCUCUA